CCUGAGCCAGGCCCCCGCCCCCGAUUCUGACUCCGCCCUCUCUGUCCUUCGGUGGAGACUCCGGGAAAAACCUGCCUCCCAGUCUGCCCUCUCUCCGUCUGUCUGUGCUUGUUUUUCUACGUUUAUCCCUGUCGCUUUCCCCACUUAUUCUGCAGGCAUGGCGCGCCCCCAGUGCCGGCUUGGUGCCAGGGCUGGGAGAUCCGGGGGUGAAUCGUGAGCCCGGCCCACAGCGAGCUUGCAGUCUAGAGAUCAAGGCAGUCUUGUCCACAACCUGCUGUCACAUAAAGCAAAUGUAGCUGGUGUAGCACCAGGGGCUGCAAUCAAGUGCGGUGGGGCGGCAAUAGUGACCACGGAAAUAAUCAGAAUUGCUUUUAAUUCAGCUCCUACUAUAUUCCCGCAUCCCUGAGCCUCACAAUCAUCCUCCAAGGGGACACUCUUUAGGAGCCUGGCGGUGUCACUGACCCACAAGGAAAGGAGCGUUACCAUCAGUGUCGGAAUGGAUGACAUCAACAAACUGCGCAUCACUGGGAUCUAAUCUGUCUUGAUGAGGAAGAAAGAAAGAAA
rnacentral:lncRNA from 10 species